GUCCCUGUAGCUCAAUGGAUAGAGCAGCGCAGUCCUAACGCGCAGAUGGAGGUUCGAUUCCUCUCGGGGAUA
rnacentral:tRNA from 1 species